rnacentral:tRNA from 1 species
CCUGGUCGCUUAGAUGGUAAAGCGUCUGCCUACAAUGCGGGAGACCUGGGUUUGAUCCCUGGGUCAGGA